rnacentral:rRNA from 2 species
UUUAAUGUUACUAAAAGUGACGGGCGAUAUGUGCAUGUUCUUUUUCUUUUUCAAUUUUUAAUAAUUUUAAUUUAAUAUUUAUUUCCAGAUCCUAAUUUUAUUUUUUUUCUUUUUCUAUUUUUGUUAAAUUUUUUGUAUUCCAUUUUCUCAAUAUUGUGCUCUUAGUCUUGAUUAGUAUUUUUUCUUUUUUUGAAUUUUACAUAAAAUAUUUUUUUUAUGUAAUUACAAUGAUAUAAAAAAUUAUAAUUAAUGUUCAUUUUAUUGUGGGUUAUCUAUCAUGAUACAGAAUCCUCUGGUAAGCUUAGACCACCGCCAUUUUAUUUAGAUUUUUUUCUUUUUAAAUUUUGUCUUUCUUAGUUUUUAGAA